rnacentral:rRNA from 1 species
AACGAACGCUGGCGGCAUGCCUAACACAUGCAAGUCGAACGAGACCUUCGGGUCUAGUGGCGCACGGGUGCGUAACGCGUGGGAACCUGCCCUUAGGUUCGGAAUAACUCCCCGAAAGGGGUGCUAAUACCGGAUAAUGUCUUCGGACCAAAGAUUUAUCGCCUUUGGAUGGGCCCGCGUUGGAUUAGCUAGUUGGUAGGGUAAAAGCCUACCAAGGCGACGAUCCAUAGCUGGUCUGAGAGGAUGAUCAGCCACACUGGGACUGAGACACGGCCCAGACUCCUACGCGAGGCAGCAGUGGGGAAUAUUGGACAAUGGGCGAAAGCCUGAUCCAGCAAUGCCGCGUGAGUGAUGAAGGCCUUAGGGUUGUAAAGCUCUUUUACCCGGGAUGAUAAUGACAGUACCGGGAGAAUAAGCUCCGGCUAACUCCGUG